ACUGGAUAAGGAAGAGGAGCGAUUAAAAUCCACUUCCACGCCCUCCCACAGCCUCCCAGACCCCUCAGCAUCCCAAACUCUGUGGCAGGGAGAAGCUGCAGUUCUCUAGCUUUGCACCACUCACCAGCUGACCGGGCCUACUCGAGGUCAAGGAACAAGAGAAGGGGCACUAAUCCCUGAUGCGCCCCCACCCCAACAUUCCUGUAUCCCCAUUAUGGUUCCGUUUCUGCAUGAAACUCCUCUGAUCACUAACCCUGCUGGUCUAAGACGUGGUCUCUCUGUGCAGCUCAGGCUGGUCUUAACCAGCAAUCUUCCUGCCUUGGCCUGUGAGUGCUAAAUUACAGUGCUAGAAAUUGAACCAAGAGCUGGGUGAAUGCUAAGCAUAUGUUCUGCUUUUGAGCCCCAGGCAUGAGUAAGGUAUUGGUUUUGCUUCCUUUUUUGAAACCGUGUCUCAUUAUCUUGCCCAGCUUGGCUUGGAAGUCAUUGCAUAGCCCAGGCUUGCCUCCUGGCAAACCCCUCUGCCUCAACCUAAGCACUGAGAUUUCAGGCAUGUGCCACCAAGCCUGCUGAGUAAAGCACUCUCACCUUA